GGGCCGGUAGCUCAGCUUGGUUAGAGCAUCUGAAUUAAGAGCAGGUGGUCGCGGGUUCAAAUCCCGUCCGGCUCA
rnacentral:tRNA from 1 species